AUCCCAUGGUGAGGACAUCUUUUAGUGUAUCCUUUCAAGCGCUCCCUAGCUUCACUUAUGAGAUU
rfam:Arabis alpina cultivar Pajares scaff_67875_1_contig_19, whole genome shotgun sequence.